UAGCGGGUGUAAGUCCUGUCCCGGCAGUCCUAGCCGGGUAGCUAUCCUGACAACUGGGGCGGCGACAAAUCGAUUGAAGCUCAGGGACAAUGUUUUCCUUAUUUUUGGUGCGGUAGAUGAAUCAUGCUGGAUUUACGUCA
rfam:Lentisphaerae bacterium GWF2_45_14 gwf2_scaffold_2598, whole genome shotgun sequence.